rnacentral:misc_RNA from 1 species
GAUGAAGAACGUAGCGAAAUGCGAUAAGUAAUGUGAAUUGCAGAAUUCAGUGAAUCAUCGAAUCUUUGAACGCACAUUGCGCCCGCCAGUAUUCUGGCGGGCAUGCCUGUUCGAGCGUCAUUUCAACCAUCAAGCUCUGCUUGCGUUGGGGAUCCGCGGCUGCCCGCGGUCCCUCAAAACCAGUGGCGGGCUCGCUAGUCACACCGAGCGUAGUAUCUUUACAUCGCUAUGGUCGUGCGGCGGGUGCUUGCCGUAAAACCCCCCAAUUUUUAAGGUUGACCUCGGAUCAGGUAGGAAUACCCGCUGAACUUAAGCAUAUCAAUAAGCGGAGGA